GACAGAGGGGGCAAGCGUUGUCCGGAUUUACUGGGCGUACAGCGCGCGCAGGCGGUGGUGUAGGUACCUGGUGACAGUCUCGGGCUCAACUCGAGAGGGUCUGGGUAGACCGCACCGCUGGAGGCAGGGAGAGGGAUGUGGAAUACCCGGUGGAGCGGUGAAAUGCGUAGAGAUCGGGUGGAACACCAGUGGCGAAGGCGGCAUCCUGGCCCUGACCUGACGCUGAGGCGCGAGAGCGUGGGGAGCAAACGGG
rnacentral:rRNA from 1 species